GCAAACUUGGUCAUUUAGAGGAAGUAAAAGUCGUAACAAGGUUUCCGUAGGUGAACCUGCGGAAGGAUCAUUAUCGAAAUCCUUCUGGGUGUUGCUGGCCUCUUAGGGGGCAUGUGCACUCCAAACCUUUUCAAUACACCUGUGAACUUGGUGUAGGCGACGAAAGUCCUUUUGUCGCCUACGUUUUUUUACACACCCCUAAAAACAAUUGUAUUUGAAUGUAUUGUAACCAAAUAAUCAAUACAACUUUCAACAAUGGAUCUCUUGGUUCUCGCAUCGAUGAAGAACGCAGC
rnacentral:misc_RNA from 1 species